rnacentral:rRNA from 1 species
AACGAACGCUGGCGGCAUGCCUAACACAUGCAAGUCGAACGAGACCUUCGGGUCUAGUGGCGCACGGGUGCGUAACGCGUGGGAACCUGCCCUUAGGUUCGGAAUCACUCCCCGAAAGGGGUGCUAAUACCGGAUAAUGUCUUCGGACCAAAGGUUUAUCGCCUUUGGAUGGGCCCGCGUUUGAUUAGCUAGUUGGUAGGGUAAAAGCCUACCAAGGCGACGAUCCAUAGCUGGUCUGAGAGGAUGAGCAGCCACACUGGGACUGAGACACGGCCCAGACUCUUACGGGAGGCAGCAGUGGGGAAUAUUGGACAAUGGGCGAAAGCCUGAUCCAGCAAGGCCGCGUGAGUGAUGAGGGCAUUAGGGUUGUAAAGCUCUUUUACCCGGGAUGAUAAUGACAGUACCGGGAGAAUAAGCUCCGGCUAACUCCGUG